GUGCCAGCCGCCGCGGUAAUACGUAGGUGGCAAGCGUUGUCCGGAAUUAUUGGGCGUAAAGGGUGCGUAGGUGGCAGUUUAAGUGGGAUGUGAAAUACCUAAGCUCAACUUAGGAGUGGCAUUCCAAACUGGACUGCUAGAGUGCAGGAGAGGAAAGUGGAAUUCCCAGUGUAGCGGUGAAAUGCGUAGAGAUUGGGAGGAACACCAGUGGCGAAGGCGACUUUCUGGACUGUAACUGACACUGAGGCACGAAAGCGUGGGGAGCAAACAGGAUUAGAUACCCUGGUAGUCCACGCUGUAAACUAUGAGUACUAGGUGUAGGGGGCGAAGCCCUCUGUGCCGCAGUUAACACAAUAAGUACUCCGCCUGGGAAGUACGAUCGCAAGAUUAAA
rnacentral:rRNA from 1 species